ensembl:lncRNA
UUAUGCUUUAAACCAUUAAGUUUUGGGGUGGUUUGUUACAUGCAAUCACUACCUGAUACACAGGAAAAUGGAUAAUCUCUAAUCCUGAUAUUAGAUAAUAUUCUCCCAACAAAACCAACACCUAAUACACACAAUAGUUAAGUCCCGUAUAUAUAUUUCUUGAGUUUACCUCUACCUUGGAUGGAGCGGGGUGUGAAGGAGAAGGAGGAGGUUGGGUGAGCAGGGAGCGUGGCCCUGUGUGUUCAGAGCAGGUGGUGGGGUGUGUGCUGGUGGACUUUCUCCCUGCAUGGCAGCAGCUAGAUGCCUAGCCUAGGGGUGUGUUUUCUCUGAUUCUGCUUCUGCAGCUGGCCGGCUGUGUAAACUUUGGCAACUCUCCUGACUUCUCCAGCCUCAGUUCCUCAUCCAUUAAAAACAUGGCUGUAACAAUACCUGACUGGCCAUCUCACUGGCAGGAUCGAGUGAGAUGAUGAUAUGAAUGAAUGCUGAAGACCGAAAGGCAGUCACAUGCAUACAAAGUGAGUGAGACGAUGUGAUAACAUGAGGAGCGUCAGCAGGUCACGCUCUGUUUUGUUUGGGUUAUUCAAAAUGUCUGAUAAAACUUAAGAAAUUCAGCUAAUAAGAAAAAAGUCUGUGUUUGGUCUAUAUGAUGCCAAAUACUGGGAUUUUAUUUUAUAAAAUAAAUGUCUUGUUCCAAUUAUAAAGCACUGCAUCCUUUAUUCCCUGCCCUGUCAUCCUCCCAAUUACAGAUAUUCAGCAUUCCGCAGACACAGCCAUGGCCUUCUCAGCUGCCCACACACGUCUCUCCAGUUAGUCCUGUUGCCUCCUGAGAAGCUCGCAUUCUUACUAACUUGGACCCACCCUUGGGUGGGCUAGCAGGAGCUGACACCUAACAUGGGGCGGGGAUCCUAGGCCUGGAAGUUGGGCACAAGUGACAUGAUUUACUUUCUGGUAUGAGUUUUCUAGUCUCCUCUUUCUGCCAGAGGAAUAAGGGUAGUAAGUCAAUGAACCAGAUUAUUUUGUAUUCCUCUGGAGAAAAAUCAUUAUUCACCUGGACUCUGUCAGAAGAAGCAGACCUCGGCUUGGCUAGAAUAUCACAAGCCAACAGCUUUUCUAAAAUAUUGCAUAUGUGACAUAACUGUAGAUAUCCUGGUUCUGAAUAAGAAAAAGGAAGGGGUAAACUGGGAAAGGGGACUAACACCUGAUUAACUCCCGCUAGAAGGCGAGCUCACUGAGGGCAGGUGGUUCGCCACUGAAUGCCCAGCACCUGCAGCCACGCCCCACCAUACCUGUGGGCCCGCCAACAAACGAGCAGCUGCUCUGCGCCGGGUCCUCUGCCACAUCAUCUCCUAACCCUUUCGCCAGUUAACCCACUUCAGGGAUGAGGCGACUGAGGCUCUGAGAGGCUAAGGAAUUUCUCAAGGGCCACAGUUAAUAAGUGGUAGAGCCAGGACCCACCCUUACAGACUCUUUCCCAUAUAUCCCAGUGAGGUCUCUAAACAGAAUUGAGGGCAGGCCGGCCCCAGAGUCACAGGCACCCCAGUAACUCUGAGAAGUAGCUUCAUUCAGGUUGAUGCCCAGGCGUCUUCACAAGAACAAAGAUAAAAUUCAGAGCACAGACCCCUUCGGCCAGGGAGCUUUGGGGGAACUUUUUGAUUUUCUUUUCUUGCUCUGCAAGUGGUGGAUGAACCAUGAGGCUGUGGGCAGCUCCUGAAGGCACCCGGAACUGAAUUCACAGUGGAUGAGAAGACUAGAAGGGACCCAACUGUCGGCAGAGGGAGGCCCCUGUGGGUCAUGGUGGCCAGGAGUGUGGCCCCGUGGGGACUCCCAGCCAGUGUGCCACGUGAGAGGAGGAGCGUGGCUGAUGUUUCCUGCGUAUCACACCUCUGUCUAAAACCUAAUUGUCUAAACGGUUUGUCAGAAAAUCUUCGAUAAGAUGUCAUUUAUUUGGGGGCGGGGAGAAACCACCACUCUUAAAUGAGGUAGGAUAACCUCUCCUCUUCCCCACUGCCCCCUCCCCCAAGCCCCCCACCAACCCAUCUCACCAGUUACUCUGGUGCACAUGAGAAGCUCUCAAUUUAAUUGUGAGCAAGUGAUGAAUGGAUAUUCUGAAAUGUCAACUUAAAUUUUAAAAUGCAUUCAAAAUUAUGCAGGAAGCGCAAGAGCCUGGAAACUCCAGCCUCAGAAGCUUUGGUGAUUAGCUACAUGAUUAACCCAAGAGGGGAUCAAAACCACGGGUUGGAGAAGUAGGUAGAUGCUGCUGUCUUGGUUUUCCACAGUCUGGUUUAUAGGGUGUGGGGCUGGCAGUCAUCAUCAUCAUCGCCAUUAUCAGUUUUUAUUUUAUGGGGCCUCAUUGAAAGCACUGUGCUAGGUGCAACCAAGGACUUCACUUUCCAGUAGAUAUGGUCACUGUCUUUAAGGAGUGUCCCAUCUCCAUUUCCGGGGCAGAGGUAAGAUGGAAGUUUUUGAUGUGGUGAUAAGCCUGGAAAAUAGAUGUAGCCCUGAGAGUCCCAGGGAGGAGGAAGCCGCAGAGCGUUGACUUCCAACAUCGUUCCGCAGACAACCCGCGAGGCUCCAGCAGCUUGGCUGGCACAGCCUCAGGAAGAGGGGAGUGCUGCAGGGAAGUCAAAGACGAAUGAGGUCUGAGAAGUGACUGCUGGAUCCAGUGGCAGAAAAUGUCACUGAUGGACUUCCUCUAGCGAGACCUGGACGGGAACUGGAUGGCAAAAGGUCAACAGAUCAGAGGGGACCUGGAAUUGGAGAGAGGGGUUGGUCACAAAAGGAAUCCAAGAAGGAAGCGGUAGCUGAGGGAAGGAGCAGGGCCGAGGGAAGACGUUUUCAGUCGGCAAACUUUGAUAACGGCCGAAGUUAGUCGGUGGUUACAUGCGAGCUCAUUAUGUAAUUCUUUCUACAUGGCAGAUAUUUUUUAACACCCUGAAUAGAAAUUUAGGAAAAGAAAGAUGAGAGGUGAGCGUGUGAGAAAGGGGUAGGGAAAUUGGGUAAGGGGAGGAUACUGACUGCCUGUGGGGACUCCCAGUCAUUGGUGGAACGGUCUCAGAGGAGGCGCGUGGAAAUGGAAACAAGAACACAGGUGAGGGGGUUAACCUGCUGACGGGAAGGAAAAUGAAAGAGGGUGAAAAUCAGGAUAAACGUUGGGUUGAAGAGGAAGUGUAGCAUAAAAAUAUUACAAGGCUAAAAGGAAGACGGAUGAGGGUUCUUGGGCCUCCAUUUCCAGGAAGUGGGAGGAGAGGCAAAGGGAUGAAAAGGAGUGGGAGGACAGGGAGCCAGGCUCGAGGGAUGUGGAGAGGGAUGAAGAACGGUCCUGGGAGCGGUAGGGAAGGGGAGGGCGAGGGGAAGGCAGCCGCUGAGGAGAAGCCCUUCCUGUGGACAGGGGCAGGAAGUUUCAAGGGGCUCACACUUUGAGAACUGGUACUGCCUUAAGGCAUGCAGAAAACAGACAGCCAGGGUGAUGAGAGUCUCUCCCAAACCCGGAACACUCAGGAAUCCCCAAGUCGGCAGUGGCUGUCUCAAGAGCGGAAGUUCGCUGAAGCAAAUAGCAACUGUCUGAAACUCCCCACGAAGGGCAGAUCCAGUGGGAAGUCAGAGGGAGGGCAUCUAUUUGGCCCAAAAUAAAUAUACUAAUAAAUGCGUAUGACCUCCCUGUGUGACCCUAGGGCCAUGUGUGUGUCCACCCACGAGUUUCGCUCUCUUUGCUCAGUCCUUUUGCAACUCGGAAUCCGUCCUCACAGUCAGCGCGAGCGUCUCUGGGCAGAGGGAGGAUGUGAGCCCCCAUCUCCCAGCACUGCUGCUUCCUUUCAUCAGGACGGGCGGGGUGUGGGCUGGGGUCCAAACGCUGACUUGACACUUUCUAGCCGCCUGCUCUGGGGCAAGCUCCGCCCCUCUCUGAGCCUCAGCCUCUUGCCGCGUAGGAAAGAGGGAGUCACUGUACCCUCCUCAGAGGGACAUUGUCCAGAUAAAAUGAGUUAGUAACCAAAAGCAUUAAAGCCACACCUAGCACGUAACAAGCUAUAGUAAACAUUAGCUACUUAAUAUAAUUCUGUUAAAAUGUUAUUCUUGACAACGAACAAAGUUUCAAAGGAGCAUUACCCUCUCAGAGGAGCCUUCUCUGCCCGCUCUGGAAUCCCCCUGUUAGCAUAUACAGCUUCAUGGCUUCCUCUAUUCCGUGGCACAGACUAAUAACAAGGGGCAACAUAGUGAAGGGGUUAAAAUCACGGGUCCUUGGCAGCUGGCCCAGUGGCCAAAGUUAGUUGUGCACUCCGCUUCUGCAGCCCAGGGUUUGUGGUUGUUGAUCCCACACACAAGCCUACACACUGCUCAUCAAGCCAUUCUAUGGUGGCAUCCCAUUUACAAAAUAGAGGAAGAUUGCCACAGGUGGUAGCUCAGUGACAAUCUUCCUCACCAAAAAAAAAGCACUGAUCUUCUUUUUUUAGAACCAGGCUGCGUGGGAUCAAAUCUGAGUUCUUUCUACCAGUUGUGAGAUCUUGGGCAAGAUACUAAACCCCUCUGUGCCUCAGUUUCCUCAUCAGGAAAAUGCAGAUUAAUAGAACUUAAUUUAUACAGUUGUUAUGAGAAUUAAAAAAUAUUGCUUGGCAUUUAAUAAACAGUAGGUGUUUCCUAUUUUUGGUAUUAUUAAUAUCUAUCUUCCUUUUCUCAUAAGCUCUGUCCAUUUCUCAUGUGUCCAGUGCCUAGCCCAGUGCCUGGACUAUAAAGGCUCAAUAAAUAUGCUAAAAGAAUAAAUGCAUGGAAGCUAAAAUCGACCACAUAGAGGUUAAUUGACAUGAUAAAUGCUUCAAGCCAGUUGCUUUCAAUAAUAUUUUCCAGAUUUAGCUUGUUCUCCUUUUGUUUUUGUUAUUGUUUUCUAAUAUGUUUGUGAAUCUUUUCAAAGGAAAAAUGACUGGGGAAAAAUAAUUUUAAAAAAUAAUCGGGGAAACACUUGUGCAAAGGCAUAGACCAAAAGAACAAUAGAUAAUUUCAUAAAGUCAGAUUUAUAAAUGUGAAAAACAAAGGCAGUGUUAAAAUUUCUCUGCCUUUUAAAACCAUAACAUGAAGUUCUAAACCUAGUCUCUUUGGAACUCGUGAAUGUAUUUAAUUUUAAAAAGAACCUCACCAGUGAUGUUCUGCCUUAAGGUAGGGGGGCAGGAGUGGGGGGUGGGGAGGCUGAGUUCCCGUUGAAAUUUAACUCUCCACCUAUAACCAUAGCGACAGGAACAAACACUGAAACCAAUCGAUAGCAGGGCAGACCGCCCAGGGCAGAUGUAUCAGCGGGGCUCAUGCUUCUCUGAGGGGUCAAGCUGUGCCCUUUUGCACUGAGCCCCAGGUUGGAAAGGGCCACCCAGCUCCCCUCUGAGUCAUGAUGGAGGGCGUGCUUGCAUUGCUCAUUCUGAUUGUGAAAAUAACUGGACAUCCUGGCUCUCGGGUCUCGACAGUGCCUGCAGGAUCCCCAGUCCAAGUCCUAACUCAGCUGUGUCCACCCACAUCAAAUAGGGGGAAGGAUCCCAUUUAUCCAGCUCUUGGCAGAGAAAGGCCCUUGAUUUGAAGCUAAAUGCAUGCAGAGGAGCUGUGUGGACAGCGCAGUCUGGGAAAUACUGGACACUGCAUUUCCCACCUUUCCUUCCAUCAUCACAAGGCAAAGUUCGGCAGCUGGGAGACAGAAGUAAGCUUCACCUGGGUACAGUGCGUGGCCCAGGCAGAGCUGUCAUCUGCUCUCACCUCUGAGGUCUUCUUCCUUCAGGACUGGACCCAAAGUGGGGCUCAGCCUCAGCGCCUCCUCCCGCUGGCUCUGAGAAGAGGGCUCUGGCCCUCUCAGGGUAAGGGCUUCACUGCUGAACUGAGAGAGAGCAACAGCAUGGACGUCUCAAGAACAAGGCCCAGAAUCUCACAGGAUGUUCUCUAGAGCCUCAAGUAGUUUGUUGGUGACCCCACCCCUUCCUGAGGGUGAAUUUCACCAAGCCUCCCUUCCCCCCCUUCCCCAGAUUAGGUCUUCCAUUUCCUGCUGAAGGUCUGAGGCACGAUUAAUAGUUGAACAAUAAAUGAAUUAGUCACCCCCCGCCCAAGUAUUUGAAGCUCAGGUGGUCAGGGUGUUCCAGGAGGGUGACUGUCAGUGCUUUCCCUUCCCCACACAGGAAAUAAAUGACCCCAGGCCUCUCCCUCAAGGUUACUCAUAUACCACACCAUCUUAAAAGUCCUGGAGGAAAACUGAAGUGUGGCCCACAGCAUCCUUUACUGUCUUUUUUUCUUUUUUAAAGAUUGGCACCUGAGCUAGCAUCUGUUGCCAAUCUUUUUUUUCCUUCUUCUCCCCAAAUCCCCCCAGUACAUAGUUGUGUAUUCUAGCUGUAGGUCCUUCUGGUUGUGCUACGUGGGACGCCACCUCAGCAUGGCCUGGUGAGCUGUGCCAUGUCUGCGCCCAGGAUCACAAACCGGUGAAACCUUGGGCCUCCGAAGUGGAGCACUCGAACUUAACCACUUGGCCAUGGGGCCGACCCCUACCCUUUACUUUCGUUUAUUCACUCUGAUAGAGUAGAUUGGCAACUCCAGCUGUCAGUCUGAGAAGUUGAGGACACCAGGGCUGUGUUGACCAGUGUUAUUCUAAUGCCACAAUGGUAACUUCUAGCAGCAAACGACCCCAGAGAAGGAAAAAAGGGAGCUGCCUAACUCCAAGGUGGCACCUACCAUGAUCACCUCAACCCU